CCCUGAGUGGUAUAAACCUUUAACAUGCUUGGCUGCUAACCAAAAGGUUGGUGGUUCAAAUCCACCCAGGGG
rnacentral:tRNA from 1 species